AGAUUGAACGCUGGCGGCAUGCCUUACACAUGCAAGUCGAACGGUAACAGGUCUUCGGAUGCUGACGAGUGGCGAACGGGUGAGUAAUACAUCGGAACGUGCCCGAUCGUGGGGGAUAACGGAGCGAAAGCUUUGCUAAUACCGCAUACGAUCUACGGAUGAAAGCAGGGGACCGCAAGGCCUUGCGCGGACGGAGCGGCCGAUGGGCAGAUUAGGUAGUUGGUGGGGAUAAAAGGCUUACCAAGCCGACGAUCUGUAGCUGGUCUGAGAGGACG
rnacentral:rRNA from 1 species